CAGCCGCCACGGGAAUACGGAGGGUGCAAGCGUUAAUCGGAAUUACUGGGCGUAAAGCGCACGCAGGCGGUCUGACAAGUCAGAUGUGAAAUCCCCGGGCUUAACCUGGGAACUGCAUUUGAAACUGUCAGGCUGGAGUCUUGUAGAGGGGGGUGGAAUUCCAGGUGUAGCGGUGAAAUGCGUAGAGAUCUGGAGGAAUACCGGUGGCGAAGGCGGCCCCCUGGACAAAGACUGACGCUCAGGUGCGAAAGCGUGGGGAGCAAACAGGAUUAGAUACCCGGGUAGUCCCUGUCUCUUAUAC
rnacentral:rRNA from 1 species